GACGAACGCUGGCGGCGUGCUUAACACAUGCAAGUCGAACGGAAAGGCCCUGCUUUUGUGGGGUGCUCGAGUGGCGAACGGGUGAGUAACACGUGAGUAACCUGCCCUUGACUUUGGGAUAACUUCAGGAAACUGGGGCUAAUACCGGAUAGGAGCUCCUGCUGCAUGGUGGGGGUUGGAAAGUUUCGGCGGUUGGGGAUGGACUCGCGGCUUAUCAGCUUGUUGGUGGGGUAGUGGCUUACCAAGGCUUUGACGGGUAGCCGGCCUGGGAGGGUGACCGGCCACAUUGGACCUGGAAUGCGGCCCAGACUCCUACGGGAGGCAGCAGUGGGGAAUAUUGCACAAUGGGCUGAAGCCUGAUGCAGCAACGCCGCGUGCGGGAUGACGGCCUUCGGGUUGUAAACCGCUUUCGCCUGUGACGAAGCGUGAGUGACGGUAAUGGGUAAAGAAGCACCGGCUAACUACGUG
rnacentral:rRNA from 1 species